rnacentral:lncRNA from 1 species
GCUUGCUUUCUGACUUCAUUAAUCUCUUUCACUCUAAAACAGUAUUUCCUCAUCACUGCUGUUGUGAAACAAGAGCGAAGGACUGCAGAAAUAACUGUUGUCUGAGGAUAAGGAGCUUGACUGAAGGGAAGAACCUGCAUUAAACCUGGAGUUAUUGUCUGUCUUUUCCUCUCUGUUUGGUUGAAAGUUCUUCUCAAAUCAUUCCUGUGCUGCCUGACUGCUACCUUGGAUGACCCAGUGAUGGACAGUUGUGCUGGCUUCCACUUUAUUCCCACAAAUUCUUCUAUUCUGUGUGGCUGCAAAAGUGUUUCCUCUGCUUCCAGAGAAGUCCAAGAAAACUGACACUGACAGAAGACAAAAAUGGUUUUUAUGAUGACAUCAUGUAUUACCCAAGCAAAUAUGUUUUGUGAAAGAUUUUUUUUAUGGUGUUGAAAUAAAGAAUCAGUG